rnacentral:rRNA from 1 species
UACGAAGGGGGCUAGCGUUGCUCGGAAUCACUGGGCGUAAAGCGCACGUAGGCGGAUUGUUAAGUCAGGGGUGAAAUCCUGGAGCUUAACUCCGAAACUGCAUUCGAUACUGCCGUGCUUGAGGACUGGAGAGGAGACUGGAAUUUACGGUGUAGCGGUGAAAUGCGUAGAUAUCGUAAGGAAGACCAGUGGCGAAGGCGGGUCUCUGGACAGUUCCUGACGCUGAGGCACGAAGGUCAGGGGAGCAAACGGG